GGGAUGUUAACUUAAAUUUUAAAGUGUUAGACUUUUAAUCUAAGGAUGGAGUGCCACAUUCUG
rnacentral:tRNA from 1 species